UGGCUUUCUUGGAUAAUUUUUAUCCUCCUG
rnacentral:piRNA from 1 species